UAGGGAAUCUUCGGCAAUGGACGAAAGUCUGACCGAGCAACGCCGCGUGAGUGAAGAAGGUUUUCGGACCGUAAACUCUGUUGGUAGAGAAGAACGUUGGUGAGAGUGGAAAGCUCAUCAAGUGACGGUAACUACCCAGAAAGGGACGGCUAACUACGUGCCA
rnacentral:rRNA from 1 species